GAUCCUACAGAGAACAGAAGAAUAGACUAAACAGCAAGGAUGUAACUGGUGACCAAGGGAAGCUGAGAAAAAAUAAAAAGAACAGAGGUUAUGAAAGACAGAUAUAUGGAAAAGCUGUGGCAGCUACUGUGUUCUCUGUACAGUCUCCACUGCUAAUCUCCCGUGCUUUGGGGAAGAUUUCAGCAAGAAGCACUGGUGAGCACAAAGCACAGGGAGGAAAGGGUGCUUAAUUUUAAUACUGGAGCAGAGGUCUUUGAAAAUGGGAGAAGAGCUCCCUGAAGCCACACUCAGUGAGCAGGAAACAUAACAGACAUUGUCCUUUGUCAUGAGAGUCUCCCAAAGACUUUGGCUAAAAACUGCAACCAGGAAAGAACUAACAAAGCAACGCAAGCAGAGCAGAGGAGCGAGUCUACCUCUGUCUCUCCCAGCAACUCGUGCUUGUUUCCAGCUUGCUCUUCAUUACAGCUCUUUUCAGGCAGGACAGCAGUUCCCUCUCCACGAUUUAGUAACUCUGCAGGACCACCAUGCCAUGGACCUGCCCCUCUGUCAUUAAAUCCCACCAACUGGUAAACUUAUUUACGUGUCAAAUAUUUCAGCCUUCCAGGAUGACAAUCACCAGAAGACUAUGUAGCUAUUAUUGUGUUUUGACCCACAGUUGAGAACAUUUCUUCAAGCUGAGAAGGCAGACGCAAAUCACUUGCCUUUUUCUUUUUUCCUCUAGAUGCAGGCUGGAGACCCUCCCUGCUGCAAGGCCACAGCAGCACAUGCCACAUUGUGAUUAGAGACUCCUGGAACAACAAUCAUUCAGCGCCACCCUCGCUGCCAAUGUUAGGGGGUGAUAACAGCAAGGCUUUUUCCCUCUGCAAAUGUAUGUGACUUUGCUGAGUUAAUUAAAACAUGGAAGAGGAGGACCAGCAGUAGACACAGACACUAAAUUCAUUCAAGAGGCCAGCAUCAGUGAAUGCUGCUGCUGCUUUCAGCUUCAUCUCCUCCACUGAAAGGUGGAAGCAAAGGCUUGUCAACCUUUUAAACUUACUUUGAUUCACUUUCCAGGGUGCAAACAUUAAGUAGAAGCACCAAGUCAGCUUUCAGAAUAAGACUUAGCUUUGCAAGCAGCAUGAGAUCCAGACCAUUUUCUCUUUUAAAGGAGGAUGUAACUUGCUCUGUUUUACCUCGUGCAAAAUUAAGUUUAUUUUCCUUUUCCUUCCCCCGACAAAAUAGACUGCUCAAGCUGUAUUACUAUCUGUGCAUGAAAAUGCAGAAGAAAUGUGUCAGGAGCUUGAAGAGAAAUAAAGACAUGAUGCAAAAUAUGAAAAGAUUGGUUCCUUCAUCUAAGGGACAGAAAAAAAAUGCUCUGGGAUAAUUGUAAUGCAUAAAUGAAAGCAAUAUCUAAAAUGCUGGUUCCCUUUGUUAGAAAUGUUGAAGAAAAAUUUCCUCCGUGCCUGGGAGAUUAAAUCAAAGCUGUGUCAAAGUAGGUGUUCUGGAGCCCCUGUGUGCAACUGAGCCACUCAGGACAGCAAGGGUGGAACACACAAGGCUGCUGGUAGUCUGUAAAACCAGGGGGUUUUGAGAGGAAUAUUCUGCUGUUAGACUCCAGGUAGUAUUUUCCUGUACUAGUUUCUGGGUGCAACCUGCAUUUGCUUCUUUGCAACUUUCUAUUAAAACAGUUUGGCUCGUAAUCCCUAAUUUUAGGAAUACUUGUAUCCAUUUAGUGUAUUCUUUUGGAAAAUGUGAAGGAAACAGAGAGCCUGGAUUGUCUUCCCUGGACAGCUCAUCCUCAGAGUAGAUCUCGGAUAUCCUUGGGAAUACCAGAUGAGGAUACCAGUAUUCUGUAGGUGUACUCAGCCUGUUUAUCUCCUCCUAAGCCCAGCUGUGACUUUCUAUUCUUUGGAAAUAAAACUGAAAUCAAAAGCUACCUCAGUUAUUUGCUAAAAACUCUAAUUAUCCUCUGUUUCAGUCAAGUUCUUUGACUUUUCAUCUUCAAGAUUGCAGCAGAAAAUUCUUUUGUGGCUCAUAUUCUCUCUAUCAGUUACCAGUAUUCAGAAGCCCCUGACAUUUUUUUGUUAUCAGAGAGGGUAGGUUUGUAAUUUUUUUCUUGAUUUUGCUCUUAUUUUCUCUCUCGCAUUUACAGUCAUUCAGUGUCAAUGAAAAAAUUAUUUCCAAAUAGAGCUUGGCAAUGGCCAUUAAACUGGAAGUAUCUAAAGUAUUUUAAAAAAAUUUAAAAAACUAGUCUGUUCAUUUUUCACUAUCUAGAAAGUUAAGUCAAAGAAGUUCUAUCAAAUAUUUGGAAUAAAUGUAGAGAACAGGAUUUAGGGUGGAUAUUUAAUUUAUAACAACAGCUGUGUAAUCAGAAUGCAUGAAAAAUUACAACCCAAAAAGAGGGCACAAUCUUAGCAAGUAUUUAUCUUUUUUUUUUUUUUUUUUUUUUAAUAAUUAGACCUUGCUCAAAAACUUAUUUGUGCUUUUCCAGGAGACAGCAAUUUUUGUUGGUGACAGGACAUUUUCUAACAUUUGAGAUAUCUAAAAUUUUAUGCCAGGAGACCUAAAAAGGAAGUAACUUGGUCUUGCCUUUUUCCAAGUCAUCCUGCCUACAAAGUGUUUACUCUUGAUUAUGUUAUUUUGAGUUAGGGUUUUUGCCUGGGCAAGGUACAAGCAGAGAUAACGUCUCUGUUACUUUUCCAGACUCCAAAGGUUUUUCCUUUCUCCCCUCUGCAACACAUUUUGAGGUUCUUGCCUUAUUCACUGUUCCAAGUGCUUUGGGUUUCAGCUAAUUUUCUUCAGAUUCAUAGCUGGUAUAAUAGUUAUGAGGGGUGUGCCUUUAGAAUUAAUGUGGACAACUCAAACUAACCAGACUUUUACUGGGAAUUAAGCCCCUUGGUGGCAUCCACUCAAUAUAUUGAUUGUGCCCAUUGGAAUGGGCACAGCAAUAAGCAAGUCUCAACCACUUGGCCCAGACGAACAGGGUUUCCUUGAUUCUUGUUUUUACUGUUUUAUUGGGCUUUUUCUCUCUAGAUGUUAUUGCUAAUCCAUUAAAUAAACUUGGUAAAGUAGAAGGGAAGCACAGGGAGAGAGCACAGGUCAAAAACAGUACCAGUGGCAAUUUCCAGAUAAUUUUUCCAUGCUGAGCAUAAAUGGUAAGCAGAGAACUGAUGUGCUUGCUGUGCAGCUGUCACCUUGUCUAGGAAUAUAUGUAGGGACAAAGACCAGUAAAUGCCCUGACACCUCUUAAGAGGCAUAUUUUGUGUAGAAGGAUAUUAGCAAUUCAAAAGCUAAACUGGGAUCUAAGCAAGGUCAUUGGCUGGUCAGACAGUUUAUUUUUGACCUAAGCAGUGUUUAAUUUAAGAAGCAGAAGGACUGGGAUAAGUAGGUACAAACCUAAAAGGGCAGCUGGCUGCUGGGUGAUGUUGAAGCUGAGUCAUCCUAAAGGGCAGCCCAUUUGUACUCUCACCCAAGAGAGAAGAAAGGUGAAGACCAGAAUGAUAGAUAGGACGCCCUCCCCAACACUAUAAUGCUUCGUGUCAGUGAACUCAAGCCAUUUCUGUGCCAAUAGGAGGGAAAGAAAAAAAGGAAAGGCAAAUAGAGAAAGAUAUAAAUUUUAAAUAAAACCUGCCUAUGUAUACAUGCAAAUUAGCUGAAACCCUUGGUGUGUCCAACUAAAAGGAAUGUUUUAAAAAUUGUAAUCUGUUUUCUGUAAAAUUUCUUAAUUCCAGUAUGUAUUACAAAUAUAUGCAGUGUGAAUAAAAUCUAAGUUGUCUCGUAACAUCUCAGGAGGGAGACUAAUGAACAAUCUUAGUAUGGCUUUCUUAUAAAUAAAACAUGCUACUCUGUUUUGUUUAGGGUUUAAGUCCUCAGCUCUGUGCUAGUGGCUGGAAUAAUUAGGUUCUGUUUUGAAGGUCAUGAUUUUUCUUUUAAUAUAAACAUGAAUUUGUCACUUUGGAAAAGAAACUUUCUUCUGUUUUAGUGAAUAUUUUUUUCCAUAGUUUGAACCUCUUGGAUAUCCCUGCUCUGUUUCUUGUCAAGUCUAGUUUCCUCAUCCUACACUAGCAUCAAAAGUGUGCUUCUGAGGAGGAGCUUUUGUCUGCCUCAGAAGAGUUGCUGUCUUUUCUAUUUCAGCUUAGGUUUCCCUGAUAGCCCUCCCUCUUCUACCGUAGGCACAGAGGUGCUGUUGCAAUACUUAAAAGCAGUAUCUAAUAGAUCAGGUGUGACAGAACUUCCCUAAACCACUGUAAAAAGCUUUUUGCCCAAUUCCCUCCUGAAAUAUCAUUGAAGUGGUGUUUGACAGAUUUGUGUAGCUAUAAAAGCUCUCAAUUGCUAUUAUUACACAAGUCUCUGAAAAUAUAUUGAUAGGCUUAAGUCUCCAUAUUUCUGAUUCCACCUACUAAACAGAGCCCAGGCUAUAUUUCUGGCUGACUAUCUUUCUC